rnacentral:misc_RNA from 1 species
ACACUCAGGAGCAGCUUCUUCUCCGGCUAGUAAAUCUUUUUCCUUGAACCGACCCCCAGCGUCUCCCCCUACUGCAUUGUCGUGUAGCAUAGCAUAGCAUCGCAUAGCAUCAAGUGUUUGUGGGCGUGUGCGGAUCACCAUCAUCGCCAUGACGCGGUGGAACCAGAGGAUGGCCAAGAUGGCCUUCCGGCGCUCCAAAUUCCGUCGCUUAGCCUGGGGGGACGGUGACCCGUACCCCUACACCCCGCGCGCCACCUUCCGCUAUCAGUGGGACGACUGGCCAAUGUGGGAGAAGAUGUGGCACCUCGCUGUCGGUGUGCUGGGCAUCGAGUUCGCUGUGUGGGCCUACUACUCGAAGUUGAACAGCCGCAUGGACUGGGCACGCGAGGAGGCGCUGCGCCGCAUGCGUCUGCGCCGUGAGGCCCAAGAGCUGAUGAUCCUCGAGGGCGAGACCUUCUCGAGCGACAUCCAGCCGGACCGCCGCUGACGCCGCCCACCCCGCGCGCGUCUCGGGGGAGAGGAGGAUUGCUGCCACUGACCCUCUCCGAAGCGCGGCGGCAUCUGUGCGCCGCUUUUUUCCCCGGAAAACUGCAGUUCUGUUAGACUCCGCGCCGCAGUCGCGGCCCGCUUCCCUAUUGUGUCCAUUUCUACCGGUGAGGCCGAAGUGAUUCCAGGGCGCACAUCAUCUUCAAGCAUACGUCAUCAUACAUUCCUGGCUUCUGUUAACGCGCCUCUAGUACUAGCGACAAUGCUGCUCAAAAUCACCGCCGAACUCCUCGACGUCAGUGUUCUGCCAACCUCGAAUUACGCGUCUCUGCCAGAUUUCCAUCGUCUCGCCUGCUCUGCCUUACCACCAACACCUCCCUAGCGCCUGCAAACACACCUCCUUGACUUUUUCGACCUAGCACAAGCGCCUCUUCGCGGCGAACGCAG